rnacentral:lncRNA from 1 species
UAUCACCCAACCCAACCCAGCCUAACCUAAUCUAAUAGACUAAUACCACCAUAUAAGGAAUUAUUUUUCCCUACACAUUCGUCCUGAUUAAUUAAUUAAUCCUAAUACUACUACUACUACUACUACUUUUUCGUUAAUUUUCUAAAUGUUAGGUUAGGUUAGGUUAGGUCAGGUCCAAUUCUAUCUAUUAGACUGGUCGUCUAGUUGAUGGCUUUUGUUUCUUGAGUGAUGGGUCCACACUGCACUCACCUUCAUCCGGAUAUUAAUAUGAACUUCCCUC